AUUCAACUGAUGAGUCCAAAAUGGGACGAAACUCGUGUCCUAUAU
rnacentral:hammerhead_ribozyme from 1 species